GAUAACAGGCUGAUAAUGCCCAAGAGUCCAUAUCGACGGCAUUGUUUGGCACCUCGAUGUCGGCUCAUCACAUCCUGGGGCUGGAGCAGGUCCCAAGGGUAUGGCUGUUCGCCAUUUAAAGUGGUACGUGAGCUGGGUUUAAAACGUCGUGAGACAGUUUGGUCCCUAUCUGCCGUGGGUGUUGGAAUGUUGAGAAGAGCUGUCCCUAGUACGAGAGGACCGGGAUGGACGAACCUCUGGUGGACCUGUUGUGGCGCCAGCCGCAUUGCAGGGUAGCUAUGUUCGGACGGGAUAACUGCUGAAAGCAUCUAAGCAGGAAGCCUCCUUCAAAACGAGCAUUCCCUUGAGAGUCGUGGAAGACCACCACGUUGAUAGGCCGGAUGUGGAAGCGCAGCGAUGUGUGAAGCUGACCGGUACUAAUAGCUCGAUUGGCUUGAUCGU
rnacentral:rRNA from 1 species